AAGGCCUGCAGCUUGCUGCGGGUACUCGAGUGGCGAACGGGUGAGUAACACGUGGGUGAUCUGCCUUGCACUUCGGGAUAAGCUUGGGAAACUGGGUCUAAUACCGGAUAGGACAGCUGUUUAGUGUCAGUUGUGGAAAGUUUUUUCGGUGCAAGAUGAGCUCGCGGCCUAUCAGCUUGUUGGUGGGGUAAUGGCCUACCAAGGCGUCGACGGGUAGCCGGCCUGAGAGGGUGUACGGCCACAUUGGGACUGAGAUACGGCCCAGACUCCUACGGGAGGCAGCAGUGGGGAAUAUUGCACAAUGGGCGGAAGCCUGAUGCAGCGACGCCGCGUGGGGGAUGAAGGCCUUCGGGUUGUAAACUCCUUUCGACAGGGACGAAGCGUAAGUGACGGUACCUGUAUAAGAAGCACCGGCUAACUACGUGCCAGCAGCCGCGGUAAUACGUAGGGUGCGAGCGUUGUCCGGAAUUACUGGGCGUAAAGAGCUCGUAGGUGGUUUGUCGCGUCGUCUGUGAAAUUCCGGGGCUUAACUCCGGGCGUGCAGGCGAUACGGGCUGACUUGAGUGCUGUAGGGGAGACUGGAAUUCCUGGUGUAGCGGUGAAAUGCGCAGAUAUCAGGAGGAACACCGAUGGCGAAGGCAGGUCUCUGGGCAGUAACUGACGCUGAGGAGCGAAAGCAUGGGUAGCGAACAGGAUUAGAUACCCUGGUAGUCCAUGCCGUAAACGGUGGGCGCUAGGUGUAGGGGGCUUCCACGUCUUCUGUGCCGUAGCUAACGCAUUAAGCGCCCCGCCUGGGGAGUACUGCCGCAAG
rnacentral:rRNA from 1 species